UGAAGUUUAAAUCGGUUACCAUUCAGGUU
rnacentral:piRNA from 1 species